rnacentral:rRNA from 1 species
AGUGAACGCUGGCGGCGUGCUUAACACAUGCAAGUCGAACGAGAACGGGAUUAGCUUGCUAAUCUGUCAGCUAAGUGGCGCACGGGUGAGUAAUAUAUAGGUAACGUGCCUUCAAGAGGGGGAUAACAGAUGGAAACGUCUGCUAAAACCCCAUAUGCCUUUAAUGCGAAAGUAUGCAAGGGAAAUAUUUAUAGCUUGAAGAUCGGCCUGUACAGUAUCAGAUAGUUGGUGAGGUAAUAGCUCACCAAGUCAAUGACGCUUAACUGGUUUGAGAGGAUGAUCAGUCACACUGGAACUGAGACACGGUCCAGACUCCUACGGGAGGCAGCAGUGGGGAAUAUUGCACAAUGGGGGAAACCCUGAUGCAGCAACGCCGCGUGGAGGAUGACACAUUUCGGUGCGUAAACUCCUUUUAUAUAAGAAGAUAAUGACGGUAUUAUAUGAAUAAGCACCGGCUAACUCCGUGCCAGCAGCCGCGGUAAUACGGAGGGUGCAAGCGUUACUCGGAAUCACUGGGCGUAAAGAGCGUGUAGGCGGAUAGAUAAGUCAGAAGUGAAAUCCAAUAGCUUAACUAUUGAACUGCUUUUGAAACUGUCUAUCUAGAGUAUGGGAGAGGUAGAUGGAAUUUCUGGUGUAGGGGUAAAAUCCGUAGAGAUCAGAAGGAAUACCGAUUGCGAAGGCGAUCUACUGGAACAUAACUGACGCUGAGACGCGAAAGCGUGGGGAGCAAACAGG